ACUUCCUCACUCUGGAGGAACAUGUCUUAUCAGCUCCGGUUACAACUAUGCCCCACAGUAGUUUUCAACAUUCUAAGGUCAGUUUGUUUGAGGUCAUCGUUUAUUUGCUCACUGUCUGGUUUCACUUACUCAUGCACAUUACAUUUAAAUGAGACGGACAGAAACACAAAGAAAGACAAAUGAUCAAAACAGGCAUUCCCAUCAGCCAUUUGAUUAUCUUACAAUAUGGAUCUCGUCAUAAUUUUCAAUGUGGGUUAUUUACAACUGCUGGAAAACUGGAGUAUUGAUGUGCCACUCUUUACACUCCAGCGAGAGGCAGCUCUAACAUCAGGCCCAAGGACACUUAUCUUCAUCCACUUCCUCCUGUUACUCUAAUGGUCGCUUGCUGGAUCCAUUAUUGGCUGACCGUAAUUUCAAGCAAGAUUCCGUGUGAGACAGGAACACAAUGUCAGGGCAGCUUCAACCAGGCAGAGCUGCCUUGCAUGCCAGAAAUAUUUCCCCGCCUGUGGGAAAACAUCUCACCGACCAGGCAGGAUUCCCCUACAUGGUGGAGAUACUGCCCUUCUUCUGGCUGAAGAGCCUCCCUCUGUGCAGAAUGACCUGCCAACGAGAGCAGCACUGCCCUGCUUAUGGCUAAACCAUCAGCCAGCCUAUCCGCGCUCUGCCUCUCUCCCCACUCGACAGACUGGUUUUCCACAGGCACUUUCCAAGGCUUUGUUUAGUCAAAGGUGGAGUCAUGUUCCUGCUGUGCAGUGAAUUCUACGUCACCGACAGGCUGUUAUGACAGAGCCGGGGCUUUUGGUCCGGUCAGCCGGGGCAAUUUCCUGGCAAGCCGGCUGUUUCUUUUCUUUGUUGCCACAUGGUUUUUCAAUCAGGCAGUUUUCUGCUUUAUACUGUGGACUGUGAGUGAUGCUGCUGACACAUGAGGUAUGAGUGCAAACCUACAGGCCACCAGUCCCCUUCUGAAAAUAAAUCCAUUAGAUAAAAAUGUGUAUUUGGGUUUGCACCAAAUGGUUCAGUGGUAUCAGGGCUCUUAACAUUCCAUAUCACAGUGUUUAAGAAGAGGAAAGAAUUCCUGCAUUCACCCCUUUGUCCGGGUCCUUCAGACAAACAUACCAACAGGGAUGAAAACACAACCUUCCUGGCAAAGGUAAUAAAUUAAACUAUAACCAAAACAAAGAAUUUACAGGCUAUACAUAGAAUGAAUUUAAAAUGAAACCAAAUUGUUGUAUUAACGAAAUGUAUUUGGAAUCACUAAAUAUAUAAGUGGAGUGUAGGCUUUGAGAAAUUCGUUUAUUUCUACUAUUACAUCUUCCCUUAUGCCUCAAUCUUCACCAUGAUAAUACCCCAUGUAGUCCACUAUUUGAUCAGUAAACAGUGCCCCCUGCUGUGCAGAAAUAUUAGGCAGUCAAGUGAGAUCAUCUGCUUUUAGUGUAAACAACCACCAUCAGUUCCACACACAAACACAUGGCCGUGACUUUUUACAGGAUUUUAUUCUUCUCGCUCUCUCUUUGUUUUUCGGGGGAGGGGUGUGACAAACUGAGGAAUGUUUUCUUUGCCUCCUCCGUCUGAAAACAUGUCUGAGCUGCAGUGAAAGAGGGAAAAGAGAAAAGACAAGACACAGCUGCCAGAGUUAAAAAUAAACAGAUACUGAAGCAACGUGAAUAGAGUCGGUGAGAGCUCUGGAGGCAGCUGACCCCGCGGCCCGGAGGUCGCAGAGCUGUGGUUGUGAGAAAGAGAAAGAGAUGGGAAGAGCUGAUCUGUGGAAAGUCUCGCCGAGUUUUGCAACUCCUGCACAAACAUGUUUGAUGGAAAAAGCUCCAGAAUGGACAAUUAAAUUAAAAAAAAAGAAGAUACAACGCGAUUAAAAUCAGCUCAAAAUGUGCCGACAUUGUUAAAAUACACACAUUCUAUCAUCAAAGACAUUACACCAGUCCAAUUUACAUUAAACUGUAUGUGACAACAAGCAUUUAUUCAUUUAUUUCAUCAUGUGCUCAUC